rnacentral:rRNA from 1 species
GAUGAACGCUAGCGAUAGGCUUAACACAUGCAAGUCGAGGGGCAGCACAAGGUAGCUUGCUAUCUGGGUGGCGACCGGCGCACGGGUGCGUAACGCGUAUGCAACUUGCCCUAUACAGGAGGAUAACCCGUCGAAAGACGGACUAAUACUGCGUAUGCUCACAACUUGGCAUCAAGUGGUGAGGAAAGAAAUUCGGUAUAGGAUAGGCAUGCGUCCCAUUAGCUUGUUGGUGAGGUAACGGCUCACCAAGGCAACGAUGGGUAGGGGAACUGAGAGGUUUAUCCCCCACACUGGUACUGAGACACGGACCAGACUCCUACGGGAGGCAGCAGUGGGGAAUAUUGGUCAAUGGGCGCGAGCCUGAACCAGCCAAGUCGCGUGAAGGAGGACUGUCUUAUGGAUUGUAAACUUCUUUUAUACGGGAAUAACAAGAGUCACGUGUGACUCCCUGAAGGUACCGUAUGAAUAAGCAUCGGCUAACUCCGUG